GGCGGCGUACCCAAGUGGUUAAGGGAGAGGUCUGCAAAACCUCCAUGCAUCGGUUCGAAUCCGAUCGCCGCCUCCA
rnacentral:tRNA from 2 species